AGUGAACGCUGGCGGCAGGCCUAACACAUGCAAGUCGAGCGGCAGCGGGUCCUUCGGGAUGCCGGCGAGCGGCGGACGGGUGAGGAAUGCGUCGGAAUCUGCCUUUUUGUGGGGGAUAACGUAGGGAAACUUACGCUAAUACCGCAUACGACCUACGGGUGAAAGUGGGGGACCACAAGGCCUCACGCAGAAAGAUGAGCCGACGUCGGAUUAGCUAGUUGGCGGGGUAAAGGCCCACCAAGGCGACGAUCCGUAGCUGGUCUGAGAGGAUGAUCAGCCACACUGGAACUGAGACACGGUCCAGACUCCUACGGGAGGCAGCAGUGGGGAAUAUUGGACAAUGGGCGCAAGCCUGAUCCAGCCAUGCCGCGUGUGUGAAGAAGGCCUUCGGGUUGUAAAGCACUUUUGUCCGGAAAGAAAUCCUGUCGGCUAAUACCCGGCGGGGAUGACGGUACCGGAAGAAUAAGCACCGGCUAACUUCGUG
rnacentral:rRNA from 1 species